UACUAAGCGGAGGAAAAGAAACCAACGGGGAUUCCCAUAGUAACUGCGAGUGAAAGGGGAAAAGCCCAGCGCCGAAUCCUGCUGCUGGAGACGGUGGCAGGAACUGUGGCGUGAAGAAGGUGUCUAUCGGUGUGGUUUGCUCGCGUAAGUUCUCCUGAGUGAGGCUCCAUCCCAUGGAGGGUGCAAGGCCCGUGUCGUGAGCAGCCGUCGCUGAUGUGUACCUUCAGAGAGUCGCCUUGUUUGCGAGUACAAGGUGAAGUCGGUGGUAAACUCCAUCGAAGGCUAAAUAUGACCACGAGUCCGAUAGCGAACAAGUACCGUGAGGGAAAAUUGAAAAGCACUUUGAAGAGAGAGCGAAACAGUGCGUGAAACCGCUCAGAGGCAAGCAGAUGGGGCCUCGAAGGCAGAGCAUCGAAUUCAGCCGGUUGUCUGUGCCGGUUGGCCUGGAUUGGAGAUCGCAAGACUCUGCCUGGUCGACUUGGGUAUGGCGGCCGGUGCACUUUCGGUGCUUGUACGCCACCGCCGUUAAGGAGCGUCCGUCGGGCCGGCAUGUGGAGCCUUGCUCUCGCAAGAGUUGCAGGUGCUCACGGCAGGUCUGUACGCGUUCGCACCCUAACCGGUCAAGUCAGCAUGUGCCAGCGUUUGCGCUGGGCCGGCCAGCUCUAUGUGGGUUGUAUGGAGAUGACGAGCUUGCUCGGCUCUUCUGCACUCGCUAGACUUGUGCUGGUUUUCAGCGUGGCACAUUGUAGAUUCGGUGGCGAGUAGACGGCUGCCCAUCUAACCC
rnacentral:rRNA from 1 species